GAUCUGGUGGUGUAGUGGAUAACGUGCCUGCAUUUUGUACAUAUUCCUCGCCGAUACUUUUGCAGGAGAUCCCUGUUCAACUCAGGGCUUAGGCCA